CCGGCGCGUUCCCAGCCCCGCAGCGCUUAUGAAAGAGCGGCCCGAAACAGCCCAUUAAAUGCUUCAGCACAGAUUAGGGAACUGGCUCCAAGGGAUCGCAUUUUUAAGAAUGCUUGCUGUGUGUGUGCGGGAGAAGUCUUGGGUGGCUCUCAGGGGACCUGGAAAUUUCACUCUGUGACCUGACAACCAACAGGAUAAAUGGAUCCUCCCCAGAAGGACCCAUGGAAGAAAUUUCCCCUCAGGUAUCAAUAUCUGAAAAAUAUGGCCCACCUCUGAAGAGCUCGUUAGGUUUUAUUGUAUGGACAUUACGAAUCCUGCAAAACUAAGCAGUCUCAGCUCUAGGGAGCUGUGCAUUUGUUAUGCUCUUCUAGCAAGUACUUAGGAUCCUUCCUUACACAUUUCUCUGCUAAUCCCCCCAUUAACUUUAUUUCCAGUAUGCUCUUUCUAUUUAAAAUGACGUUAGAAAGGAGUUCUUGAUAACGUUCAAAAAGAAAAAAAAAGCAGAACACAAUAAUGUAAACUACAAAAAAUAGCAUUAAGAAAAGGAAUAGAAAUGUAUGUGAGUGCUGGAGUUGGGGGGAUUAUGGAUAGUAUUUUCCAAGCUGGCUUUUGUGAAAUUUUUUUUUAACAUGAACGUGCAUUACUUUUAUAAAGCUAUUGAGAAAACCAUUAGCUUUGGGAACCGAAAAGGAAGUGCGAGUGAACUCACUCCGUGCCCGGGCAGCCGGCACCAUUUACCUGUAACGGCGUAAGCACUUGUACAAUUUAAUAAUUUGCUGAUUACUGCCAUGCAUUAGACUUUAACUAUUUUGUCUACAAAGCAUGAGCACCCCUUACGUAGUUAAUGUAGCCACAUUAAACAUUUAUGUGACGGCUAUAUUCCCAGGGCUGGUUCGUUUCCAUUUUUUCAUAUCGUGAGCUGAUGCAGCUGCUCCGCACUUCCCGGGAGAGGCUCUUGCACACCUGAGGCAGGAAGCCUCUUCUGCAGGGAUGCCAGAACUGGAGAGGGCGGCAAGGCACAAAGGGUUUCCGGAAAAAGUGCAUGGCAUCCAGUUAAAUACACGACAUAAAAUACAUGGCAUCUGGUUACAUUUGAAUUUCAGGUGGACAAUAAAUAAUUUUUUCGUA